CCCCUCUCAGGGUCGCAACUGGAGAGUUUCCAGUACUCUACCAGUUUCGGCUACGAGAGGGAGAGUUAAGCAGAGGGCGUCCAUUCCAUUCCUAGCUUGGGCAGAAGCUAGAGAGUGGCAGGCAAUCUGAUACAAGG